UACAGAGGUGGCAAGCGUUGUUCGGAAUUACUGGGCGUAAAGGGCGCGUAGGCGGCCUCGCAAGUCCCGUGUGAAAUCCCUCGGCUCAACUGAGGAAUGGCACGGGAAACUGCGGGGCUUGAGUUCGGGAGAGGGAAGCGGAAUUCCGGGUGUAGCGGUGAAAUGCGUAGAUAUUGGGAAGAACACCGGUGGCGAAGGCGGCGACCUGGUCCAUUACUGACGCUGAGGCGCGACAGCGUGGGGAGCAAACAGG
rnacentral:rRNA from 1 species